rnacentral:tRNA from 2 species
GGUCUAUUAGUCUAGUUGGUUAGGACGUCGGAUUCUGAUGCGUCGGAACUUCCGUAGGCCCAGGUUCGAAUCCUGGAUGGACCU